rnacentral:rRNA from 1 species
UGGAUUGGUGCCUUCGGGAACUCUGACACAGGUGCUGCAUGGCUGUCGUCAGCUCGUGUCGUGAGAUGGUUGGGUUAAGUCCCGUAACGAGCGCAACCCUUGCCCUUAGUUACCAGCACGUUAUGGUGGGCACUCUAAGGAGACUGCCGGUGACAAACCGGAGGAAGGUGGGGAUGACGUCAAGUCAUCAUGGCCCUUACGGCCUGGGCUACACACGUGCUACAAUGGUCGGUACAAAGGGUUGCCAAGCCGCGAGGUGGAGCUAAUCCCAUAAAACCGAUCGUAGUCCGGAUCGCAGUCUGCAACUCGACUGCGUGAAGUCGGAAUCGCUAGUAAUCGUGAAUCAGAAUGUCACGGUGAAUACGUUCCCGGGCCUU